GAGCAGGCCGGUCAAAGCGUAGACAGAGGUGUUAGGGUGGACAACGCUCAGAGAGUGUGUUCGUUACAGAAUUAAAUGGCGCCCAACAAUGGAGCAAGCCCGAUGCCUGAUCAGGCAUCUGUCGUUUGACAGCCGAGCUUCCCGAAAAUAUUUCAAUCCAUCCAUUUUUGUAAAAUUGUAGUUUCAGUUAGUAUUUCAUUUUUGACUUGGAUUUGAUGGUACUCUGGAUAGAUUCGGAGCCAUACCAGCAGAAAUGUUAUACUUUUGUUACAUGUUUUUUCUAUCAGUUCGGUCAUACUCGGACAUUAUAGUUAAAAACAUUCCAUUUUGAUUAUUUGAUACUUCGGAAUUUUAGUUCUGAUUUAAGGUCGGUUCUUUACCAAGUUUUCAGUUUUCAAACCACAUCUUCUAUCCAAUCAAAAUCGAGAUUUGUUCUAGCUGGAAAAAUUCGGCUAGUCCCUCUUUUGAUUGGUUAGACCUCAAAAUACUAUUUUUAUAUAAUUGAUUCCGCAAACAUUUUCAGUUAAUAAUUAGUACCUAUCGAACGAAAAUCAACCUGCUGCUACAUUACUCCUCAGGAUAAGCCCCUCUUAUUUUUAUGACACUACCGCAUUCCGUAUUUCUCAAGGAUCUUUCUCGUCUUGUCAUUGUUGAAUGAUUAUCGUAUACUUCUAUCGCAUAUCGUACAUUUCUAUCGCAUAUCGUAUAUCUUCCAUUUCUCUUUUUAAGUUUUUGAGUUUAGUUAGUUGUUAGUUAGGUUUGAAAUCGUUUAAAAAUGUCGGUUAGGCACAGCAACGAGAACCUAGUUUCUCUAGGUGAUGAUGACUCAGUGACGUGCACGCUCUGCAAUGGAGUAGUUUUCGAAUUGGAUUUAAUGGAAACUGCUUGUAAACAUUGCUUUCAUAAGGCUUGUCUACAAAACUGGCUGCAGGAUAACAACACUUGCCCAACAUGCUCUCAACCAUGUUCUCAGUCCCAGACGGUAUCUAAUCAGAAUUCCGGUAUGCAAAAUCGAAUGAUGACCAGAUCUAGGUCUCGUAACGCCGAUAAUCAGAACAAUAUUAUCGUCUCUCAGAAUGGCAACUCGAAUCCCCAUCAAGACAAUAGGCAAACCAAUGACUCAGAUGUAAGCGAAGACCCAGAUCAGCAAAGUCUUGCGAAUCAAAUGCGAGCAUUUCAAAAAAGCAUGUUAGACAACCAGAAAACAUUUCAAGUAACCACGACAGAUACAAUCACAGAAAAAAUGACUCAGAUGUUUAGCCAAUUGAAUAGGUCCACCUUUGUGGAUAACAAUACGCAGCACGAAUUCCGUAACAAUUCAGGACAAGUCGGUUUCCAGAACAAUCAGGGUCAAAACAGUCAGCGAGUUGGGAACUCUCCGGAUGUGCGAAGCAAUCGCAGCGAUCUUUCCUUGGAUCGUCCUGACAGAAUUUCAAAUGUGAUUUCCAACUGGCGAAUCAAAUUCAGUGGGUCAGCUGACGACAUCGCAGUUGAGGAUUUUAUAUACCGAGUAAACUGUCUCACUACACAAAGCCUAAACGGAAAUUUCGAUUUGUUGUCGCAGUUUGCAAAUUUGCUAUUUGCAGGUCCUGCUCUAUCUUUUUACUGGCAUGUUCAUAGGUCGGUAGAUGACAUGAACUGGCUUGUAUUAUGCAGACGCUUAAAGGAGAGAUACUCAGAUCAGAGAUCAGACCGUGAAAUAAAAAGUGCCACACGUCGUCGUAAGCAGGGUUCAAACGAAAGUUUUGACGACUUUCUUGACGCAAUGCUUAUCAUAGCUAAUUCCCUCCGAGAGCCCAUGCAUGAUAGAGAGUUAGCCAGCGAAGUGCGCCACAAUCUUAAGCCAGACUUGAAACUUGAGUUACUGCAUGUUGACACCCCUUCUUUGGAAGCUUUGCGUAAGGCGUGUCACCGCCACGAAGAAUUUUAUCGCGGCACUAAAUUUUAAAGCGUUGACUUCUCCUGACUCCUUUUUCAGUUUUUAUUAUUAGUCACAGGGACUAAAAAUCAAAACUGUGGUUGUGGGAGUCAGUAUUUUCGGCUAAGUUGGCAUUCCUAGUUAAGACAUUACCCAUGGUAAUUAACAUAAAUAGCCCAGAUGCAACCCUUCAGUAGCAAGGAUCCGAUCCUCGCUAGAAUACCAAAAAUACCAGUUUUAUGGAUUUUGGGGAUUUUGUGCAUCCUACAUCCACUCUAGACGCCACGAUUUCCUCCUCUUUGUCGCAAGCUUCUCCCGAGAUCGGUUCGUUCUCUGCAAAAAGUGCUAUAAUUUUCAAACCCGUCCGCAUCCACACAUCCGCGUGUGAAAUUCUAGGAAUUUUGGUUGAGCAGUACGACCUGUUAUCACUCCCAAUAUUGGUGCAGUGACCAGAGACACGUGCAAAUUCUCGGAAUUGACGGAAGUUUUACAGCCCUCCCUCUGCGCACAGCAAGGAGCAGGUGCCGCGUGCAGCGAUUCAUCAGCGGAACCAUACAUUUCUUCAGCGCCAGGCCAUAAUCGCCAUUUGGGAUUCUUAUACCGCACACCGCGUGAAAGGAAUCUGUCUUCUUUGCCACACCUGGAUUAAUUUCAUCAUCGGCAUACCAUAAGCGGCUUCAAAAAUCGCCGCAGUCAACCCGCGUGAGGUUUUGACCUUGCCAAGCCCGCACCACGAUCUACAAGUCAGGUCAAGUUGCAGUUCGGGCGAAAAACGCACCGGCGCCGAUUCGGCGUAAUUCGGACAAGACAUCGGAGGCGGACGCCGCAUCCCAAUUGGAAUUUCAGUUCCAAUUCUGCUUCCAGUUAAUUUUGGCCGGGACUGCCAACUCGUUUUUGUAUCGCUAAAGCGAUUGUAGUUUAAUUUUCUUAUUCUAAAUAUUUGUACGACAAGUUUCUAAUUUAAUUUACGAUUCCUAUUUAGCUUUUAUACUUGCGUGUGUGCUUACG